rnacentral:rRNA from 1 species
GUCUUCUUGAAUAUAUUUUGAAGUCUAACCUGCUCACUGAUUUAUUGUUAAAGAGCCGCGGUAUUUUGACCGUGCAAAGGUAGCAUAAUCAUUAGUUUCUUAAUUGGAAUCUGGAAUGAAUGGUUUGACGAAAAAUUAACUGUCUCUUGAUAAAUUUUAGAAUUUAACUUUUAAGUGAAAAGGCUUAAAUGUUUUUUAAGGACGAGAAGACCCUAUAGAGCUUAACAUUAAUUAUUUAAUAUUUUUUUAUAGUUUAUUUUUUAAUAUUUAAUUUUAAUGUUUGGUUGGGGUGACAUGAAUGAUAGUUAAACUCUUCAUUAUUAAAUCAUUAAUUUAUGUUUAUUUGAUCCAAAAUUUUUGAUCAAAAGAUUAAGUUACCUUAGGGAUAACAGCGUAAUCAUUUUUGAGAGUUCAUAUCGAUAAAGUGGUUUGCGACCUCGAUGUUGGAUUAAGAUUAGUUAUAGGUGCAGUAGCUUUUUAACUUGGUCUGUUCGACCUUUAAAUUCUU